GUCCCAAGAGAUCGGGAUAACACCUGGAAACAGAUGCUAAUACCGGAUAACAACAGAUGAUGCCUAUCAACUGUUUAAAAGAUGGUUCUGCUAUCACUCUUGGAUGGACCUGCGGUGCAUUAGCUAGUUGGUAGGGUAACGGCCUACCAAGGCGAUGAUGCAUAGCCGAGUUGAGAGACUGAUCGGCCACAUUGGGACUGAGACACGGCCCAAACUCCUACGGGAGGCAGCAGNU
rnacentral:rRNA from 1 species